rnacentral:rRNA from 1 species
ACGGGAGGCAGCAGUGAGGAAUAUUGGUCAAUGGGCGAGAGCCUGAACCAGCCAAGUCGCGUGAAGGAAGACGGUUCUAUGGAUUGUAAACUUCUUUUGUUCGAGGGUAAAGUGACGGACGUGUCCGUUAUUGCAAGUAUCGGACGAAUAAGCAUCGGCUAACUCCGUGCCAGCAGCCGCGGUAAUACGGAGGAUGCGAGCGUUAUCCGGAUUUAUUGGGUUUAAAGGGUGCGUAGGCGGGAUGUUAAGUCAGCGGUGAAAGCGUGUUGCUCAACAAUACCGAGCCGUUGAAACUGGCGUUCUUGAGUGUAAACGAGGUAGGCGGAAUGUGAUGUGUAGCGGUGAAAUGCAUAGAUAUGUCACAGAACUCCGAUUGCGAAGGCAGCUUACCAGCAUACGACUGACGCUGAGGCACGAAAGCGUGGGUAUCAAACAGGAUUAGAUACCCUGGUA